rnacentral:lncRNA from 1 species
AUUGAGUUUCGUUACGAAGAAUUUAUCAUAUGAUUUUCGACUGUGGGCUAUACAAUAAUUAUUCUCUUGGUAGUCACAUGACGAUUUUAGACAAAUCGUAGAUUGUCGUUUAGCCGUUAAGUGAUGGAGCGAUGGUUUCUCAAAUAGUUUGGCUUGACGUGAAGGAUGUGUUCAAUCAGAUAGCCAAGGAUGUUAUAGGUCAAGGAUUAGACCAUGGUACUUU